rnacentral:tRNA from 1 species
GCUUGGAAUGGCAGUUGAUGAGCAUUGUCAUCGAAAGCUCGACCAGAAUGAAAUAAAAAAACCUUUAAUAUUGACAAACUAAACGUAUAGACCAUCUGAUUCCUAAUCAGAAGGCCGGGCGUUCGAAUCGCUCAGGGAGCGCCA